rnacentral:rRNA from 1 species
CCUACGGGAGGCAGCAGUGGGGAAUAUUGGGCAAUGGGCGCAAGCCUGACCCAGCAACGCCGCGUGAAGGAAGAAGGCUUUCGGGUUGUAAACUUCUUUUGUCAGGGACGAAGCAAGUGACGGUACCUUACGAAUAAGCCACGGCUAACUACGUGCCAGCAGCCGCGGUAAUACGGAGGUGGCAAGCGUUAUCCGGAUUUAUUGGGUGUAAAGGUCGUGUAGGCGGGAAUGCAAGUCAGAUGUGAAAACUAUGGGCUCAACCCAUAGCCUGCAUUUGAAACUGUAUUUCUUGAGUGCUGGAGAGGUGAUCGGAAUUCCGGGUGUAGCGGUGAAAUGCGUAGAUAUACGGAGGAACACCAGUGGCGAAGGCGGAUUGCUGGACAGUAACUGACGCUGAGGCGCGAAAGCGUGGGGAGCAAACAGGAUUAGAUACCCCGGUAGUC